ACAAAUGAUCAGAAAGUGCAGCAGCCAGAGAAAGCCUGCUUGGAAAAACUGAAACCCAUAGAAUCAGAAAAGAGACACCUGAGAGCUGAUGUAUUGAGGAGGUACCCUGGAAGCAUUUUGUGAUGCUGACCACCUGCUAAGCCACAGAAAUGCUGCCUUCAAACACCAGUAAAAGACUUUGAAAAGGAACAGGCGUGGCUCUAAUUUCCAUCGUACUGCUGCACUAACUCCCUUGAAAUGGGGAUCAAAGCUCCAGCCUGGGGGAGAGUUGCUUUACUUUUUCCCCCCUUUUCCCACCCUGGUUUUAUUACCCACGUGUAAGUUAAAACCCCAGCUUGCUUGCUGGUCUGUGGCAGUGGCAUCAGAGAUAGUGUGUUCUGGUUUGGGCUGGGAUAUAGUUAAUUUUCUUUAUAGUAACUGCAAUGGGCUGUGUUUUGGAUUUGUGCUGAAAAUAGUGAUGAUAAUUCAGGGAUAUAUUUGAUUUUGCUGAGCAGUGCUUGCACAGAGUCAAGGCCUUC